UAACUAGCCCGUAUUGCUUUGGCAGUACGCUGGCUUCUUAGAGGGACUCUCGGUGUGAGCCGAGGGAAGUUUGAGGCAAUAACAGGUCUGUGAUGCCCUUAGAUGUUCUGGGCCGCACGCGCGCUACACUGACGGAGCCAGCGAGUCCUUCCUUGGCCGAAAGGCCUG
rnacentral:rRNA from 1 species